UGAGUACGAGCGGCUACGGCCGCGAAGUGGAUGAUGUCAAGCUUCCAAGAAAAGCCCUAUACCCGUUAAGGCAUGAUGGCCUGUACCCGAAACCGACACAGGUGGGGUGGUAGAGAAUACCGAGGGGCGCGAGGUAACUCUCUCUAAGGAACUCGGCAAAAUGGCCCCGUAACUUCGGGAGAAGGGGUGCCACCGCGAGGUGGUCGCAGUGAAGAGGCCCAGGCGACUGUUUACCAAAAACACAGGUCUCCGCUAAGUCGCAAGACGAUGUAUGGGGGCUGACGCCUGCCCAGUGCCGGAAGGUUAAGGAAGCUGGUCAGCGCAAGCGAAGCUGGCGACUGAAGCCCCGGUGAACGGCGGCCGUAACAAUAACGGUCCUAAGGUAGCGAAAUUCCUUGUCGGGUAAGUUCCGACCCGCACGAAAGGCGUAACGAUCUGGGCGCUGUCUCGGAGAGAGGCUCGGCGAAAUAGAAUUGUCUGUGAAGAUGCGGACUACGUGCACCCGGACAGAAAGACCCUAUGAAGCUUUACUGUAGCUUGGUAUUGUGCUCGGGCUCGGAAUGCGCAGGAUAGGUGGGAGGCUUUGAUCCAUUGCUUGCGGGUGAUGGUGAGCCACUGGUGAGAUACCACUCUUUCCGAGCUAGAGUUCUAACAGCAACCCGUUAUCCGGGUGCUGGACAGUAUCAGGUGGGCAGUUUGACUGGGGCGGUCGCCUCCUAAAAGGUAACGGAGGCGCGCAAAGGUCUGCUCAGGCUGGUUGGAAAUCAGCCGACGAGUGUAAAAGCAGAAGCAGGCUUGACUGUGAGACCUACAAGUCGAACAGGGAGGAAACUCGGCUUUAGUGAUCCGACGGUUCUGCGUGGAAGGGCCGUCGCUCAACGGAUAAAAGUUACUCUAGGAUAACAGGCUGAUCUCCCCCAAGAGUUCACAUCGACGGGGAGGUUUGGCACCUCGAUGUCGGCUCAUCGCAACCUGGGGCUGAAGUCGGUCCCAAGGGUUGGGCUGUUCGCCCAUUAAAGCGGUACGCGAGCUGGGUUCAGAACGUCGUGAGACAGUUCGGUCCAUAUCCGGUGCACGCGCAGGAAUAUUGAGAGGAUUUCUCCCUAGUACGAGAGGACCGGGAGGAACGCACCUCUGGUGUGCCAGUUAUCGUGCCAACGGUAAACGCUGGGUAGCCAUGUGCGGAGUGGAUAACCGCUGAAAGCAUCUAAGUGGGAAGCCCACCUCAAGAUGAGUAUUCCCAUGGCAUAAGCCAGUAAGGUCACGGGAAGAACACCCG
rnacentral:rRNA from 1 species